rnacentral:lncRNA from 1 species
CUGAAAUCCAUCACCUCUCCUAUCAGGCAGUGAUUGAUCUCUCCAAGCUGGCAGGCACAUGGCCAGCUAAAUGUCACCUCUGCUGUGAUGCUCCAACCUCCCUCUUCACACACUCAGAUCCCAAAAUAUUCAUAUUAUUCUUACAGAGUCUCCUGAUGCGACACCUCUUCUAAAAGAUCUUGGAUCAAACAAAUUGAUUGCUCCUUCUGCCCUUGGUUCUUGGGACAGUGCAUGGAUCUGCUUUCUGGUUUUGGGAUUUCAGAAUGUGUGAAUUUCCCCCUUGUUCAGGCUGGUCUCUCUCUAUGUGAUGACGUGAAGUUAAGCCCUUGGAAAGGACAGGGAGGAACAGCAGCAGCUUGGCUCUGAGCUGUCACUUUGGCUGCCACUCUGGGAGAGAACAGCCUGGUGACUGGCAGUGAUAUAAAUAUUCAGGGCUGGAUUGACAGUGUGCAGGACAUGAGCCUGCUGGAACAGUGAAACUGAGACUUGACUUCUUUCCUUCUUUUGUGCUCCUGUGUGAAGGCAUGAAGGGUGUCCAGCAACAAGUUUCUUUCUUUCCCCAGAAUAAGCUGUUAGAGGACAAGUGGAGCUCAGCAGUGAGGAGUUGUUGGUGUUGUUUUCCACUUGGUUUCAAGUUCUGCACACAAAGCUAGAGCAGGUUGCUGAGAAACCCUGUCAUCUGCAAACAAAGGCAGCUCCUGCAGGAUGGAGUGUGUGCAGAAUGUAAAGAGGGAGGUGUCUGUAGGCAGCCUACAGAAGAUUGCCACGUUGCUGCCAUGCACACAAAAAGUUCCUGACUUUUGGUACCAGGCUCACCACCCUGACAGGCAACCUGGUACACUGAAGGUCCAAUGGAACUGAUGGUCCUUAUGUUCCUCAAGAGUGAGAGGUAUUAUGGCCAAACUGACACGGGAAGGUUUUUGCAUCAUGUUUUGGUUAAAACUUCCAUUCCCAUCGGAGGAAGGCGCUGGCUGACU